CCUACGGGUGGCAGCAGUGAGGAAUAUUGGUCAAUGGACGAGAGUCUGAACCAGCCAAGUAGCGUGAAGGAUGACUGCCCUAUGGGUUGUAAACUUCUUUUAUAUGGGAAUAAAAUGUUCCACGUGUGGGAUUUUGUAUGUACCUUAUGAAUAAGGAUCGGCUAACUCCGUGCCAGCAGCCGCGGUAAUACGGAGGAUCCGAGCGUUAUCCGGAUUUAUUGGGUUUAAAGGGAGCGUAGGUGGAUUGUUAAGUCAGUUGUGAAAGUUUGCGGCUCAACCGUAAAAUUGCAGUUGAUACUGGCAGUCUUGAGUACAGUAGAGGUGGGCGGAAUUCGUGGUGUAGCGGUGAAAUGCUUAGAUAUCACGAAGAACUCCGAUUGCGAAGGCAGUUCACUGGACUGCCACUGACACUGAGGCUCGAAAGUGUGGGUAUCAAACAGGAUUAGAUACCCCAGUAGUC
rnacentral:rRNA from 1 species